GAAAUAAAACAACUCCGCAAACCAUCGGCUACCACGUUCGGUCAAAACUUGCUUUAGCCAGCCUCUCCACCGGUCAUGGUAGGGCUAAGUUCGCUCUUUUGCUACCAGAUAAUAUGUCCAGUUCCGUCACCGAACUGGAGUUUUCCUUUGUUAGCCUUUCGUGCCACUGCAACAUUCCUGCGUUUUUCGUCCGCGGAAACAGAUUCCUGCCGCACACGUAAAUAUGAGAGAAUCCAGGUUUCCGGGAAUCGGGAAUUCCAUGCCAAUGCUGUGAUGUAGAGGUUGCAUUCCAGACUUUUAACUUCUCCCAAGUGGCAUUGUCCCUCUCUUUCUCUCUCUCUCUGUCCCCUCACACAGGCUGGCAGACAGUCCGGCACGAGGCGAAGGUUGGCGCUUUCUACUGGUGCCAACUACGCUCUGCUGCACCGCAAAGCAUCAUGGGAUGAUAAGUCGGGAUGAGGCGAAGCGAGGCAUUGUGGGGAGAGAUAUUGAAGCUCAAUCACCUGCGGAGGAGCUGAGGGGAUCCGAGGGCUGCUCGGGGGACUUUGCGAUGCAAAUGUGAGGUAAUUACCUAAAGCCAGGAGAGCGAGGGGAAGGCAUCCCAGGCUAAAAUAGAGCAAGAAGGAAAAGCGACGGUGAGAGACGCGAAAGAUUCACAAGCCUGUUGAUGCUGACUGAUUGGAGCACUCGGAAUGAAGGGCAAAAAUGGAGGGGUGUUGUGUAGGAAAGGGAUUCACAGAAGACUGCUGUGCCCUUGUGUUUUAAGCCCAUUCAUGUGUCUGUGCGUGUCCUCUUUUUCUUCUGAAAAAAAAAGAUUAAUGUGUUCCAUGUUUUUCCUAACUCCAGAGAGAUUUGGUUAGUCGUCGUUGUGUGAUUAGCUUAAUGUAUGUCAUGGUUGCCAUGUUCAAGUGUAAUAGGCUGUAUUUGGAGAAUAAAAGCCUUUGACUAUG